rnacentral:rRNA from 1 species
GAUGAACGCUGGCGGCGUGCCUAAUACAUGCAAGUCGAGCGAACGGACGAGAAGCUUGCUUCUCUGAUGUUAGCGGCGGACGGGUGAGUAACACGUGGAUAACCUACCUAUAAGACUGGGAUAACUUCGGGAAACCGGAGCUAAUACCGGAUAAUAUUUUGAACCGCAUGGUUCAAAAGUGAAAGACGGUCUUGCUGUCACUUAUAGAUGGAUCCGCGCUGCAUUAGCUAGUUGGUAAGGUAACGGCUUACCAAGGCAACGAUGCAUAGCCGACCUGAGAGGGGGAUCGGCCACACGGGAACUGAGACACGGUCCAGACUCCUACGGGAGGCAGCAGUAGGGAAUCGUCCGCAAUGGGCGAAAGCCUGACGGAGCAACGCCGCGUGAGUGAUGAAGGUCUUCGGAUCGUAAAACUCUGUUAUUAGGGAAGAACAUAUGUGUAAGUAACUGUGCACAUCUUGACGGUACCUAAUCAGAAAGCCACGGCUAACUACGUG